rnacentral:rRNA from 1 species
GACGAACGCUGGCGGCGUGCCUAAUACAUGCAAGUUGAGCGCUGAAGGUUGGUACUUGUACCAACUGGAUGAGCAGCGAACGGGUGAGUAACGCGUGGGGAAUCUGCCUUUGAGCGGGGGACAACAUUUGGAAACGAAUGCUAAUACCGCAUAAAAACUUUAAACACAAGUUUUAAGUUUGAAAGAUGCAAUUGCAUCACUCAAAGAUGAUCCCGCGUUGUAUUAGCUAGUUGGUGAGGUAGAGGCUCACCAAGGCGAUGAUACUUAGCCGACCUGAGAGGGUGAUCGGCCACAUUGGGACUGAGACACGGCCCAAACUCCUACGGGAGGCAGCAGUAGGGAAUCUUCGGCAAUGGACGAAAGUCUGACCGAGCAACGCCGCGUGAGUGAAGAAGGUUGUCGGAUCGUAAAACUCUGUUGGUAGAGAAGAACGUUGGUGAGAGUGGAAAGCUCAUCAAGUGACGGUAACUACCCAGAAAGGGACGGCUAACUACGUG